rnacentral:rRNA from 1 species
GACGUAGGGGGCGAGCGUUGUCCGGAUUCAUUGGGCGUAAAGCGCGCGUAGGCGGCCCGGUAAGUCGGAUGUGAAAUCUCACGGCUCAACCGUGGAACUGCAUUCGAAACUGUCGGGCUAGAGGCAGGUAGGGGAGAUCGGAAUUCCCGGUGUAGCGGUGAAAUGCGCAGAUAUCGGGAGGAACACCGGUGGCGAAGGCGGAUCUCUGGGCCACUACUGACGCUGAGAAGCGAAAGCAUGGGGAGCGAACAGG